rnacentral:lncRNA from 1 species
AUGGAAGGAUACGCUAUCUGUUGCCAGGGGCAAUGCCUUCAGAACUUCACAGAGGCGCGACUAAACAUUUCAGAGCGCUUUCAUUUUUGCGCAUUUAUUUUGUCGGCGGAACAGAUCGAGACGGAUCUACGAAUACGCGGAAGAAAGUGGACCUUACAGGAACAAGCUCACACCAAGCGCAAAACAGCGGUGUUUGGAGAAGCUCUCAGGCAGCUCCCUGCAGCGGCACAGAGACCUGAACAAUUUACCUCAGUGCACACAUAUAGACAUUGGGGAUUAUAUUGUUUACAAUAUGCUGUGAAGUGAAUGCAGCGAUGGCAGAACACCUGAAGCACGCUCAAAGAAGAGCUGAGGGUGGAGGUUACACAAGAAAUGAGCCAAACAGCUGUAAUGUGUUAUAUGUGGGGUAGUUCACCCAAAAUUAAAAUAGUCAUAAUUUUCUCACCCUCAUGUUACUACAAACCUGUAUAACUUUCUAUGUUCUGCUUGACACAAAGAUAUUUGGAAGAAUGUUUGUAACUAAGCAGAUCUCGUUAUGUUAACGAUCAUGAUAAUUUUUCCUACAAUGGCACUUAAUGAGUUGUGAGAUUGUGAGAUCUGAUUGGUUACAAACAUUCUUCCAUAUAUCUUUGUGUUUAUAAGACAACUGGGUAAGUCAAUGACAAGAUUAAUAAAGACAUGAUAAAAAGAAACCCUCUUUUAACAUUCCAGUAGAACACACGUGAACGCAUUCUCAGAAAUGUAAUCUUUUAAUUAUAAUCAGUAAAAUAAAGACUCAUAUGAUUCGCGAACACACUCUGAAGUCCAGAUCUGACUGAUAUGACUCAAAUGAUUCGCGAUCCCGCUCUGAAGUUGCGAUCUGACUCAAAUGAUUCGCGAACUUGCUCUGAAGUCCCGAUCUGACUCAAAUGAUUCGCGGACCCGCUCUGAAGUCGCGAUAUGACUCAAAUGAUUCGCGGACCCACUCUGAAGUCGCGAUCUGACUCAUAUGACUCAAAUGAUUCGUGAACCCGCUCUGAAGUCGCGAUAUGUCUCAAAUGAUUCGCGGACCCACUCUGAAGUCGCGAUCUGACUCAAAUGAUUCGCGAACUUGCUCUGAAGUCGCGAUCUGACUCAUAUGACUCAAAUGUUUCGCGGACCCGCUCUGAAGUCGCGAUAUGACUCAAAUGAUUCGCGAACUCGCUCUGAAGUCGCGAUCUGACUCAUAUGACUCAAAUGAUUCGCGGACCCGCUCUGAAGUCGCGAUAUGACUCAAAUGGUUCGCGGACCCACUCUGAAGUCGCGAUAUGACUCAGAUGAUUCGCGAACCCGCUCUGAAGUCCUGAUCUAACAUUUUUUUUCUUUAUUUUAAACAGUUAGGACACAACAAUAAUUUUCAAAUAACAAAAAAUAACAAAAAUAGAGACAGAGAACAUUUCAACAACAUAACACAAAAAAAUGAAGUCCGAUCUAACUCAAAUGAUUCGCGAGCCCCCUCUGACGUCCUGAUCUGACUCAUAUGACUCAAAUGAUUUGCGGACCCGCUCUGAAGCAUAGACAGUAAAAGAAAUGGACCUAGCGACCCCAUUGGAUUCAACGGAGAAAAAUGAAGUCAAUUAGAAGCACGCACUCCCCGGGAGUCGAGCGUACUGUGCAGACUCAAACUGAGCUUGAUGACAUAGAUGUCACGUGAGCAACCUGUUAGUCUUCUAAUCGCUGCGCCAAGAGAAAUCUGAAUCACCCACCGAAUCUUGCAGAGAAGGCGAGCGGGAAUAGGAGCAAAUUUUGGUAAGUAUUCUGAUUAAUUAUGUCCCUUGACUUCAUGCCUCCACGUCCCCCUGAUAGCCUCAUAGACAGUAAAAGAUUGCCUGCGAGCUUCUCCUCCUGUCCAUACGGUAAUUUCUCUGUGCGACAGAGAGUCACCGGUUAUGACGCAAUCGUUAGCCUUUUUUUUUUUUUUUUUUUACAAAAACUGCUUCUACGGGAACAUAAUGUAAGAUACAAGGUAAUGGAACCUUUUAUACAUUUUCGUGUUCCUUUAGAAAUAAUUAAUGGACAAAUGGAGUGUUUAAAGAUUUUGAGUUGAGGACUCGAGGAGGGAGAUGUAUGGAUAUAUAUUAUAUAAAAUCUACUGUUGGGUAAGUACAUUUUGUAUUAUUUGAUUAACGUGCUUGAGUUUUACUUGUUUCACACGAAGGAAACGAAAGGAACGAUGCCCACAUUGUCAACUGAAAUUCACUGAGUAAGGCUAAAAUUAGCUAACGUUAGAAGGCUAAAAGUUACUUAUAUUGAUGUAAUUUUUAUUGGUACGCUUUAAUUAUUCAGGGGACAUCACAGCCCACCUGUCUUAUCAGAAAUGUCCUGUUCACUUUCUCACAGUUACACACCUAGUUAAGGGUCUUUCUCAAGGGCAUCAUCACAUUAAAUCACACCAUCUUUUAUACAAUAAAAAUAAAAUCUAAUGCAUGUUGAUUACUUUUUUCUAAUGUUUCAUUCAUGAUUCAUUCAUCUUGUUCCAAGUUUUUUCUUUUUGCUGUAGACCAUAAAGAUAUUUUGAAAAUAAGUGCAUGUCAUUUAUCUAUUUUUAUUUUAUUUUAUUUAUUUUAAAAAUAAAUAUAUUCUCUUCCCUUCAGAUGCUGUGAAGUGAAUGCAGCGAUGGCAGAACACCCGAAGCACGCUCCAGGAAGAGCUGAGGGUGGAGGUUAUACAAGAAAUGAGCCAAACAGCUGUAAUGUGUUAUAUGUGGGAUAGUUCACCCAAAAAUGAAAAUAGUCAUAAUUUUCUCACCCUCAUGUUACUACAAACCUGUAUAACUUUCUAUGUUUUGCUUGACACAAAGAUAUUUGGAAGAAUGUUUGUAACUAAGCAGAUCUCGUCAUCUUAACGAUCAUGAUAAUUUUUCCUACAAUGGCAGUUAAUGAUUUGUGAGAUUGUGCGAUCUGCUUGAUAACAAACAUUCUUCCAUAUAUCUUUGUGUUUAUAAGACAAAUGGGUAAGUCAAUGACAAGAUUAAUAAAGACAUGAUAAAAAGAAACCCUCUUUUAACAUUCCAGUAGAACACACGUGAACGCAUUCUCAGAAAUGUAAUCUUUUAAUUAUAGACAGUAAAAUAAAGACUCAUAUGACUCAAAUGAUUCACUAACCCGAUUUGAAGUCGCGAUCUGACUCAGAUGAUUCGCGAACCCGCUCUGAAGUCGCGAUCUGACUCAUAUGACUCAAAUGAUUCGCGGACUCGCUCUGAAGUCCUGAUCUAACUUUUUUUUUCUUUAUUUUAAACAGUUAGGACACAACAAUAAUUUUCAAAUAACAGAAAAUAACAAAAAUAGAGACAGAGAACAUUUCAACAACAUAACACAAAAAAAUGAAGUCCGAUCUAACUCAAAUGAUUCGCGAGCCUGCUCUGACGUCCUGAUCUGACUCAUAUGACUCAAAUGAUUCGCGGACCCGCUCUGAAGCAUAGACAGUAAAAGAAAUGGACAUAGCGACCCCAUUGGAUUCAACGGAGAAAAAUGAAGUCAAUUAGAAGCACGCACUUCCCGGGGGUCAGCAUUCUGCGCAGACUCAAACUGAGCUUGCAACCUGUUAGUCUUCUAAUCACUGUGCCAAGAGAAAUCUGAAUCACCCACCGAAUCUUGCAGAGAAGGCGAGCGUGAAUAGGAGCAAAUUUUGGUAAGUAUUCUGAUUAAUUAUGUCCCUUGACUUCAUGCCUCCACGUCCCCCGAUAGACUCAUAGACAGUAAAAGAUUGCCUGCGAGCUUCUCCUCCUGUCCAUACGGUAAUUUCUCUACUGUGCGACAGAGAGUCGCUGGUUAUGACGCAAUCGUUAGCCUAUUUUUUUUUUUUACAAAAACUGCUUCUACGGGAACAUAAUGUAAGAUACAAGGUAAUGGAAACUUUUAUACAUUUUCGUGUUCCUUUAGAAAUAAUUAAUGGACAAAUGGAGUGUUUAAAGGGGGGGUGAAAUGCUAUUUCAUGCAUUCUGAGUUUUUUACACUGUUUAAGAGUUGGAUUCCCAUGCUAAACAUGGACAAAGUUUCAAAAAUUAAGUUGUACGUUUGAAGGAGUAUUUUUGUUCCCAAAAUACUCCUUCCGGUUUGUCACAAGUUUUGGAAAGUUUUUUUCGAGUAUGGCUCUGUGUGACGUUAGAUGGAGCGGAAUUUCCUUAUAUGGGUCCUGAGGCACUUCUGCCGGAAGAGCGAGCGCUCCCGUAUAGCGAGGCUGAG